rnacentral:rRNA from 1 species
UACGUAGGAUGCAAGCGUUGUCCGGAAUUAUUGGGCGUAAAGAGCGCGCAGGCGGUCUGCCAAGUCAGAUGUGAAAGAGGCCGGCUUAACCGGCAAGGGUCAUUUGAAACUGACAGACUAGAGUGCAGCAGAGGAUAGCGGAAUUUCCGGUGUAGUGGUGAAAUGCGUAGAUAUCGGGAGGAACACCUGUGGCGAAAGCGGCUCACUGGACCACAACUGACGCUGAGGCGCGAAAGCUAGGGGAGCAAACAGG